GUUAUUGUUUCCUGCUAUUUUUGUUGUUCGAGGAGGAAUUAUGUUUGUUUGCUUCUUUUCUUUUAGUUUCAUUACAAGGAGAUUACUUUCUUGAUUUUUCUAGGGUGUAGUUUCCCUCCUCGUGUUGGAGUUUUUCAUCUAUUAUCCUUUGUAGGGCUGGAUUUGUAGAACAAUAUUUUGUAAACUUUGUUUUGUCAUGGAAUAUCUUUGUCUCUCCAUCUAUGUUAAUUAAGAAUUGUGCUGGAUCUAGUAGCCUGAAAUGACAUUUGUGUUGUCAUAGGACCUGUAUGACAUCUGACAAGGAUCUUCCAGCUUUGAUAGUCUCUGCUAAGAAGUCUGCUGUAAUUCUGGUGUGUAGUCUUUCCUGUCUACUGAUCUUCAGCUGUUCCUUCGGCGUUGUCCUGAGUCCACCAGGCAGGUCACUUGGAACAAAAAGGUUCAGUCUCUGAUGAAACUCAAAGGUCAGAUUAUUGCACUUUAUUGAUCUUCCUGUGAUAAGUACCUUUGCUGGCAAGGGACAGUGACAGUGUUUUGACAGUAUGAAGAAUGUGAAGUUUGGAUUGCCAUGAAUUCAUAUUGACAAGGGAAGAUGCAGAAACAAGC
rnacentral:lncRNA from 1 species